rnacentral:snRNA from 1 species
UUAGAUUUCUUGGCUCUAUGAGCUAAGAUCAAGUGUACAAUCUGUUCUUCUCAGUUUAUUCUCUUCUGAUGAACACUUGAAACACCUGCUCUGAAGAUGGAUUCUCUUGCUGCCAUUUUUGAAAAAAUCCAGCACGUCCC